rnacentral:rRNA from 1 species
AGCGAACGUUAGCGGCGCGCUUAACACAUGCAAGUCGCACGAGAAAGGGCUUCGGCCCCGGUAAAGUGGCGCACGGGUGCGUAACACGUAGGCAAUCUUCCCUUGAGCGGGGGAUAACGUUUCGAAAGAGACGCUAAUACCGCAUAAGACCACGACGAGUUCGCUCGUUGCGGUCAAAGCUGGCCUCUUCAUGAAAGCUAGCACUCAAGGACGAGCCUGCGGCCCAUCAUGCUAGUUGGUAGGGUAAUGGCCUACCAAGGCGAAGACGGGUAGCUGGUCUGAGAGGAUGAUCAGCCACACUGGAACUGAAACACGGUCCAGACUCCUACGGGAGGCAGCAGUGGGGAAUAUUGGACAAUGGGCGAAAGCCUGAUCCAGCGACGCCGCGUGAGUGGUGAAGGCCUUCGGGUUGUAAAGCUCUGUUGAGGGAGAAGAAAACAGUUAGAGCGAAUAGGUCUAACUCUUGACGGUAUCCCUUUAGAAAGCACCGGCUAACUCUGUGCCAGCAGCCGCCGUAA